rnacentral:rRNA from 1 species
CUGGCGGCGUGCCUAAUACAUGCAAGUCGAACGGCUUUUCUAUGGAAGCUUGCUUCCACUGAGAAGAUAGUGGCGAACGGGUGAGUAACACGUGGGUAACCUGCCCAUAAGAGGGGGGAUAACAUCCGGAAACGGGUGCUAAUACCGCAUAGUUUUCUUGAUCGCAUGAUUGAGAAAGGAAAGACGGCCUUUGUGCUGUCGCUUAUGGAUGGACCCGCGGCGUAUUAGUUAGUUGGUGAGGUAACGGCUCACCAAGACGAUGAUACGUAGCCGACCUGAGAGGGUGAUCGGCCACAUUGGGACUGAGACACGGCCCAAACUCCUACGGGAGGCAGCAGUAGGGAAUCUUCCGCAAUGGACGAAAGUCUGACGGAGCAACGCCGCGUGAGUGAAGAAAAGGUUUUCGGAUCGUAAAACUCUGUUGUCAGAGAAGAACAAGUUGGAGAGUAACUGCUCCAGCCUUGACGGUAUCUGACCAGAAAGCCACGGCUAACUACGUGCCAGCAGCGGC